UUUGAGCAACACAGUGGUAGAUCUGAGUAAAUUAAGGUUCAGAGUUUAUCCUCCAGCAAGAGAACAGGAAACAACAUUGAGAAAGAAUGACAACCCCACACCACUCUAGCCACUAGCAUAGCAGAGGAGAAUCACCAAGGCUGAGGACAGGAAGUGCACAGCGUAUCCAUAUUCUCUGUCCAACCUGGUUGAAGUAAGUCAUCAACUUACUGAGUCAAGGUAAAAUAUUUUUCAAGAGUCAAGGCUGAAACUACGCUUAUGUGGGGGAGAUGACUGCAAUUUUUGCCCUAUAUUAGGAUCCCUGCUUAGGACAAUGGCAUUAAAAUCAGAACCAGCGCAAGCAAACUAUAAUUAGAGGUGGAGCCACAUAUGAUCUAUGUGUCUCCACAGUGGUCUCGGGAAGAACAGAGACCAUGAUGGGUCAAAUCAUGUUUGUGAGAAAAGACAAAAGGAAGAAGAGCAACGAUAUGAGGAUGCCUUGGGAUCCAACUAUUGGGAUAUCAUCAAAGUAGAAAAUCUUCUGCACAGUGAAGGAAAAAAAAUCAACAGAACUAAAAGGCCACCUAUGGAAUGAAGGAAGGUAUUU